CGCAGGGUGGAGGAGCCAGGUCGUCCUCGCCGGUCUCAUAAGCCGGAAGCCGCGGGUUCGAAUCCCGCCCCUGCUCCCA
rnacentral:tRNA from 1 species